rnacentral:misc_RNA from 1 species
UAAUAAAUGGUCUACGUUUUUAAGUAGACGCUUAAUAAUCCUACCCUUUGUGAAUUUGUUUGUUUUGAAAUAAUUUUUUUUAAAAUUAUUGAAUGUCUUUCCCUGUUGAAUUGGUUGUCUUAAUGCAAGUGAUUCGCAGGGGAGUGUCAAUAAUUUUUAAAAAGACCUUUUUUAAAUUAAACUUUUUGUAUUCAUUUGUCUAAAAUUAUUUUUAUAAUAUAAAACAACUUUUGACAAUGGAUCUCUUGGUUCUCGCAACGAUGAAGAACGCAGCAAAAUGCGAUAAGUAGUGUGAAUUGCAGAAUACUGAAUCAUCGAAUCUUCGAACGCAUAUUGCACUUUUUUAGUUUACUAAAAAAGUAUGUCUGUUUGAGUAUCAGUAAAAUAUUCUCAUAAAAAACAUUGUUUUUUUAUGGUUAUGAGUGUUUUACAACGAUACAAGUUGUUUCACUUUAAAUUUUUUAAAUUUGAAUUUUUCUAAUUUAAAAUAAAUUGGAUAAAAUUUUCCCGUAAAAAAGGAAUAACCUAAACAAUUUUAGUUUUUUGAUUAGAAUUUUUCAUUAUAAAGGAAUUUAAUAAAUAACUUGAUCUCAAAUCAGAUAAGAGUACCGCUGAACUUAAGCAUAUCAAUAAGCGGAGGAAAGAAACUAACAAGAUUCCCUUAGUAACGGCGAGUGAAGCGGAAGAGCUCAAAUUUGAAUCUUCAAGGUUUUACCUUGACGAAUUGUAGUUUAAAGAAGUGUUUUCUGUUGAAGUUUUGGUAAAGUUCUUUGGAAUAGACAUCAUAGAGGGUGAGAUCCGUAUUUGACCAUUAUUUUCAGCUGUGUGAUACACUUUCAAAGAGUCGGAUUGUUUGGGAAUGCAGUCCAAAAUGGGUGGUAAAUUUCAUCUAAAGCUAAUAUUGGCGAGAGACCGAUAGCGAACAAGUACGUGAGGGAAAGAUGAAAGAACUUUGAAAAGAGAGUUAACAGUACGUGAAUUGUCAAAAGGGAAGCGUUUGACACCAGUGUUGUUUUCUCGAAAAUCAAUUAAAAAUGGUUGAUUUUGUGUUGUAUUGACCUUAUCAGCUUUCUUCACUCUUUUCUGCUUUUUUUAAAUGCACUUUUCGUUAACAAGUCAACAUCAGUUUCUUUUGUUGUAAAGAGUCAUUGGAAGGUGCUUUCUUUCGGAGAAAGUGUUAUAGCCUUAUCUUCUGCAAUCGGAGAGACUGAGGUCUGCAGCGUAGAUCCUUCGGGUUAGAUACAUUUGUGCUAAGCUUGUAGUUUUCAUAGACACUUGUUGAUAUGUUUAGUCAUGCGGCUUACUCGCUUAUGCUAU